CUAGCAUGGAGUGAGUAGGAGUCCAGAAGAGCCUGGGCACAGAUGCGGAAUGAUUCAAGGACAGGAGAAAACCACAAGCUGUACACCUUAAACAUGAAGCCAAACUAGAGCACUGUUGUGCCCUCACUGACAGCUUCAUGGACGUGAAUGGAAAUUGGAUAAAUACGAUGCUGCCUGUGUCAAAAACGUACCGUUACCUGGACGUUUUAAAGUAUACAGAGCAAAACCUGGGUCUUCUUAGAAGCAUGAGCUUUCCUCCACACAAGAGAAGUCCUACAGCUGGUUUUACCACUGGUGUUGUCAGGUAGCCUAGUGCCACAGCUGUCUCUGAUGCAUCGUUAUCUUGCAGCACAAAUUUUGAAUGUCAGCAUGUCUGAAGUCCUUUUUAUGAGAAAUUUCAUGGUGUUGUAUAAAGCAUACACUAUUGCCAAUUCUGCAGGAGAACAGAAGGUGUGUAACCCUUCCAAAACUUAAGCGUUUUCACCAGUACUUGUAAAGCAACUUAGGUCUGUCGUGAGUGGCAUAGAUGAGGCAUCUACAAGAAACUGCCAUUUCUACGGCAGUAACUCCUCUACCACCAACGCAGUGCAAAGCAGAAGGAUGCUGUAACUGCCUACCAAUAACAUAUAAAUUGCAUUUCUCCAUGGAGUAUUUUCAUGUCUCCAAUAAACUGGUAACACCUCCUGGUACGUUCAUAUUUCAAUUGAGUGGGGCAAGGCAAACCAGCUGUACCCCCAAACUGCUGACUCCCCAGAUUCUCAAAGCCCAUCCCAAAUGUGCAUUCAUCUGUUUGUCUGCAACUGAUAAACUGGUAUUCCUUGUAUUUAGACUGAUCUCUCCUGACCCAGUAUUAUUCCAUUUAAAAACACUGUAAUCAUAUAAUUCCUCUUCUGGACAUGUACAUACACUUAAAUGCUUUACUUCUUAAAAAAGAGGUGAGCAUCUCUUCCUUAUCACAGAUAUCCUAGGCGUUAAAAAUAUGAAAAUUCCAUAUGGAUUAAAUAUUGAUUUUAUUUUUUAGAGAGCAAGUACAAUGAUGUUGCAUUAAAAUAAUGCUAUGUCAUAGUUGUUACAGCUCUGAUAGAAAAAUAAACAUCUCAAUAUACUACAGUGUCAACUCAUUAAUAAAUAUCAAAAUAGAAGUUAGUAGUCAACUGAAAUUAAUAAACAGCUAUAAAAGUAUACUAUUUUAAAUAAUAAAAUAUUCAGUAUAUUUCCAGACAAACAAAAGUAGUGAUUUAAAGUAUCAUUUAAAAUGGAAAAUGGACAGUAAGAAGUUACAAAUUUAUUUGAAACCUUUUCCCUUACUAACAUUCUCUAUGCAUAAAAUCUAGAGGAACAUUAUUUAUCUGUAUAUACUUUUUACAAAAGGUAGCAUAUGUUAAAUAGAAAGUUUAAAACUGUAGUAUUAUUAAUAGUUGUCACACCAUUGCUAAAUAAGACACUUUAACAUAUCUUUAGGUUCUGAAGCAGUAGUAGGUAAAAGUGAAGAUGUUAGCACAGUGAAUUCUUCCAACACAAAUGACUUUCCAAACAAAUCUCUCAUCUUUCAACGUCUCCCUUCAAAAUAUAACUGGAACAGCUCAAACACAAUAUAGGUAUCAGGAUGAAAAGUUAGCAUUUGGAUAGAGCUAUUGUUUUAACAAAUGACAGAUUUCAAAACUUUUUUUUUUUUUUAAAGGAGGUAUACCUUUUUUUUUUUUUUUUAAACAGUAUGUGCAGAAAAGGAAAAAAGAGAAAAU